rnacentral:misc_RNA from 1 species
GAUGAAGAACGCAUCGAAAUGCGAUAAGUAAUGUGAAUUGCAGAAUUCAGUGAAUCAUCGAAUCUUUGAACGCACAUUGCGCCCGGUAGUAUUCUGCCGGGCAUGCCUGUUCGAGCGUCAUUUCAACCAUCAAGCCCCAGCGCUUGUGUUGGGGGCCUGCGGCUGCCGCAGCCCCCCAAAAGCAGUGGCGGGCUCGCUAUCACACCGAGUGCAGUAGUUCAUCUUCUCUCCGGUCUUGUGAGGCGGGUUCCGGCCGUGAAACACCCCACUACAUUCAAGGUUGACCUCGGAUCAGGUAGGAAUACCCGCUGAACUUAAGCAUAUCAAUAAGCGGAGGA